UACAGAGGGUGCGAGCGUUAAUCGGAAUUACUGGGCGUAAAGCGUGCGUAGACGGUUAUCUAAGUCGGAUGUGAAAUCCCCAGGCUUAACCUGGGAAUUGCAUUCGAGACUGAAUAGCUAGGGUACGGUAGAGGGAAGUGGAAUUUCCGGUGUAGCGGUGAAAUGCGUAGAUAUCGGAAGGAACAUCAGUGGCGAAAGCGACUUCCUGGACCAGUACCGACGUUCAGGCACGAAAGCGUGGGGAGCAAACAGG
rnacentral:rRNA from 1 species